rnacentral:tRNA from 1 species
GGGGAUUUAGCUCAGUGGUAGAGUGCUUGCCUAGCAAGCACAAGGUCCUGGGUUCGGUCCCCAGCUCCA